GGGAGAGGGAAGGAGGCUGUGACCCUGUGGCUUUUCCUUUGUAGACGAGUUCUUCCACUUUGUCCUUCUGUGCUUCGCCAUCGGGGCCUUGCUGGUGUGCUACCAUUACUAUGCAGGUGAGGACCCCUGGAAAACUGGGAGAGGGCCGCAGGGGUUGUGGGGGAGGCCAGGGCCCUGCAGACCUGUAGGCUGACCAGGCUCUUCUUUUCUGUCCUCCAGACUGGUUCAUGUCCCUCGGGGUUGGCCUGCUCACCUUCGCCUCUCUGGAGACCAUGGGCAUCUACUUUGGGCUGGCAGUGUACCGUGUCCACAGCGUCCUGCAGGGCUUCAUCCCCCUCUUCCAGAAGUUAAUAGGGUUCAAGAAGACCCACUGAGGCCACGGGGACAGAGCCACGUUCUGGGAGACCACAGGAGGCCAUCCCAAAGCAAUCAAGAGAGUUCUUUUCCUUCCAUGUGGGCUGGACCUUGGCAGGAGCCCAGGCCGGGGCAUCAUUUGGGCAGCCCCAGAAUUCCAUCCAGCUGCCAGGGUGGAGGGCAGAGGGAGGGCGCGGGCCUGAGCCCUUCCCAGGCACCCGGAUCAGCAGGAAGUUUCUGCAAAAGCGAUGGUUCUGGGCAGGGGGCCCAAGAGCCCAGGGGACCCUCCAGGUGGGCGCUCUGUCUGGGCUUCUGGUUUCUUCCAAAUCUCAGACCAUGCUGAUGCGCUCUGAGAUCCAAAGAGCCACCCUGGGGCAGAGCUUACUACCCAGAGCCAUGGAGCCACCAGGCUGGGUCCCCCCCCAGUGAACCUGAUGCAGGUAAGAAGAAGGGGACCAACACCACAGCCCCUGGGAAUUUUCCCUCAGCCCUGCUGUCCCCAAAGCCAUCAAUUCAAAUAAACACUCUCCUGCAC
rnacentral:lncRNA from 1 species